rnacentral:lncRNA from 1 species
UAUUAUCUAAAUCUAAUAUAUAGUACGGCCCGAGCGUGGUGGAAACGUGGUAGUGCUAAGCGUGUGGACCCCACACGUGGGACAAGGGCUUCAUCCGCUCCGUGGACCUGUGGGAGGAUGCGUCGUAGUCGAGCAGGACGCCAAAGCAAAGUCCAGAAAGUAGCGAUCAGUGGGGCCCAGAUCAUGAGACUGAUAGCCGGAAACUGCUCCAUGGCGAUUUCUCCUCAAGCUAAAAAUAAGGAAGG